GUAUACGUCAUUGCCUUAAUAUCUCACCGGUCGCUUCCGACAUAAAAUAAGUAUUUAUAUAAAAAACAAAAGAAUUUUAUUUGGGAUUCGCAGACGCGGCGUGCGAUGUAGACUCUAAUCCUAACUUUCUGGCGCUUGAGGAAUGCGACGUUAUGGGAACUGGCCAGCCCAUAAUUUAGCCCUCUUGAGUUGUUGUUAGAGAAUUGUCUGCAGGCGUACGAUGUCUGUCAAGGUAGUUCCAGCAUGUUUCCAGUUUGCCCCAUUACGAAAUAGAACAUUUUGAUCAAGCAAUUUAAUCGUAAUAACACAGUGGGGUCGAAAAAACGGCGUCAAGAACAGUUGGAUAAUUUCUUGCCAGCAAAAUAAUAUGGUUUUUGUUCUCGAACGGCAUAUCUAAGGAAGUUCGUUGAAAAAUCAAUCACCGCAAUACCGCAACCGGCUUAUCUUCACCUAACCUUAAAUCAGAAGUGGUUCGAGAAUAUAUAAAUGAAAUACAAAUAACAAGAAACGUUUAAUAACUACAUUGAUAAUUCAGAAUUGAAAAUACGUAAGCUGCAUAGAAAUAUGUGACGUUCAGCAGCGAUAAUGAAUGUAGUAAUUGAAAGUAAUCAUAAACAAGCCAACAAACAUGUUCUAUGAAGCUAAAAAAGAUGCUCUCCUGUAUGAUCUCACCCUAUAACCAGAGAAGGUAUUCACUUAUGAAGUAGGAAACAGGAUAAACUAAUAGCUUAUUGAUAAAACAAAACAGAUUUAAUGGAAUGUAAAAACAUGAAAUUAUUAUUUGUGUAUGUGUUUUUUGCUGGGAUAUUUUGUACUUUGCUUGCAAUUCCCGUGGAAUUCAAGCUUGGAAUGGCAACAGCAGCUUAUCAAAUUGAGGGUGGAUACAACUGUGAUGACACAGCAUUAUUUAUGCAGCAAAAAAUGAUCAUGACUGGGCGACAUUUUUCGUUGUGGAAAUUUCUUUUACGAUUUUUCUGAUUUUCUGGUAGAAAAAGUGAUUUUUCUGUGCACUAUAUUUGAGCUUAUUCUGUCCCUUAAGGCCUGUUUAAUCUGGAAACUAAUAAAUCAGUGUGUUAAUAAUAUCACACAAGAGAUUGGUGUCUUUCUGUACCCU
rnacentral:lncRNA from 1 species